AUUUAUACUGCCUUAACUGAGUGCUAUCUAAAUACACACUUUGCUUUCUGCUAAAGGGYACUUUUCCUGCUAGUAAUCUGAUGUUUGAUAGUCUUUUCUUUUGCAGUUAUCUUAUUCUUUCAAAUUAAUUUCACCCUACCUCUGAGUCGAAGACCAUUCCUUACAUUACCCACUGGACUUUUUAAUGCUGUGACAUGACUGAAUCUUUUUCUUUACUGAUGAAAUCCAGACUCAGGAUAAAGCAGCUGGUUGCAGAGGAAAGCGGGAAAUGGCUUCAGCAGAAGAACAUUCCAGUCAGUGUCAUCCUUCUGKUUUUUUUUUCCCCCAAGGCAAGCUCAAGCUAUUUAUCUUUGUUAAAAUUGGUUA
rnacentral:lncRNA from 1 species